UCAAAGAUUAAGCCAUGCAUGUCUAAGUAUAAGCAAUUAUACCGUGAAACUGCGAAUGGCUCAUUAAAUCAGUUAUCGUUUAUUUGAUAGUACCUUACUACUUGGAUAACCGUGGUAAUUCUAGAGCUAAUACAUGCUAAAAACCUCAACUUCGGGAGAGGUGUAUUUAUUAGAUAAAAAACCAACGCCCUUCGGGGCUUCUUGGUGAUUCAUGAUAACUUUACGGAUCGCAUGGCCUUGCGCCGGCGACGGUUCAUUCAAAUUUCUGCCCUAUCAACUUUCGAUGGUAAGGUAUUGGCUUACCAUGGUUUCAACGGGUAACGGGGAAUUAGGGUUCGAUUCCGGAGAGGGAGCCUGAGAAACGGCUACCACAUCCAAGGAAGGCAGCAGGCGCGCAAAUUACCCAAUCCCGACACGGGGAGGUAGUGACAAUAAAUACUGAUACAGGGCUCUUUUGGGUCUUGUAAUUGGAAUGAGUACAAUUUAAACCUCUUAACGAGGAACAAUUGGAGGGCAAGUCUGGUGCCAGCAGCCGCGGUAAUUCCAGCUCCAAUAGCGUAUAUUAAAGUUGUUGCAGUUAAAAAGCUCGUAGUUGAAACUUGGGUCUGGCUGGCAGGUCCGCCUCACCGCGUGUACUUGUCCGGCCGGGCCUUCCUUCUGGAGAACCUCAUGCCCUUCACUGGGCGUGUUGGGGACCAGGACUUUUACUUUGAAAAAAUUAGAGUGUUCAAAGCAGGCCUUUGCUCGAAUACGUUAGCAUGGAAUAAUAGAAUAGGACGUGCGGUCCUAUUUUGUUGGUUUCUAGGACCGCCGUAAUGAUUAAUAGGGACAGUCGGGGGCAUCAGUAUUCAAUUGUCAGAGGUGAAAUUCUUGGAUUUAUUGAAGACUAACUACUGCGAAAGCAUUUGCCAAGGAUGUUUUCAUUAAUCAGUGAACGAAAGUUAGGGGAUCGAAGACGAUCAGAUACCGUCGUAGUCUUAACCGUAAACUAUGCCGACUAGGGAUCGGGCGAUGUUCUUUUUCUGACUCGCUCGGCACCUUACGAGAAAUCAAAGUUUUUGGGUUCUGGGGG
rnacentral:rRNA from 1 species